GUGCUUGCUUCAGUAGUACAUUUGGUACAAAUUGGAACGAUACAGAGAAGAUUAGCAUGGCCUCUGCCAGUAAGGACUGAGUGACAUGCAAAUUUAUGAAGCAUUCUAUAUACAC
rnacentral:snRNA from 1 species